GGAGCUAAUCCCUUAAAGCUACUCUCAGUUCGGAUUGUAGGCUGAAACUCGCCUACAUGAAGCUGGAGUUACUAGUAAUCGCAGCUCAGAAUGCUGCGGUGAAUGCGUUCCCGGGUCUUGUACACACCGCCCGUCACACCACGGGAGUUGGAGACGCCCGAAGCCGAUUAUCUAACCUUUUGGAAGAAGUCGUCGAAGGUGGAAUCAAUAACUGGGGUGAAGUCGUAACAAGGUAGCCGUAUCGGAAGGUGCGGCUGGAUCACCUCCUUUCUAAGGAGA
rnacentral:rRNA from 1 species